GGAGUGACUAGUGACAGAGUGCGGGAGUGGGUGACUAGUGACAGAGUGAGGGGAUGACUAGUGACACAGUGAGGGGGUGACUAGUGACAGAGUUAGGGAGGGGGUGACUAGUGACAGAGUGAGGGAUGGGGUGACUAGUGACAGUCACCACCUCCCUCACUCUGUCACUGUGUUACUCCCUCCCUCUGUCACAAGUCACCCCCUCCCUCAUUCUGUCACUAUUCACCCCCUCCCUUACUAGUCACCUCCCUCCCUCUGUCACUAGUUACCCCUCCCUCUGUCACUAGUCACUCACUCUGUCACUGGUCAUCCCCUCCCUCACUCUGUCACUAGUCACCCCCUCCCUCUGUCACUAGUCACCCACUCUGUCACUGG